rnacentral:lncRNA from 1 species
GCCAACCUUCAUCCAGGAUGUACUGUUAUGGUUCUCUCCUCUGCAACCCCCUAAAGAAAGACUGAGGUGCAGCUUCUGAGAGACAAGAUGGGGACAAGUUGGCUAUUGAAGCACUUCUGGAGGGUUCUCUGAGCCCAGAAGCCUACACAUGUUUGGCAAUCCCAGAUGCACAUUCUUCCUGUCACCAGUGGGGCUGUGAACUGGUUGUUCGGGCUGAAAGAAGAAAAGUUAAAACGCACUUUCAGGUUAAAAGAAAUGCUGUCUGAGUGACGGAAGAUGGAUUCACA